rnacentral:rRNA from 1 species
GAUGAACGCUGGCGGCGUGCCUAAUACAUGCAAGUAGAACGCAGCUGCGAACGGGUGAGUAACGCGUAGGUAACUCCCUCAUAGCGUGGGAUAACUAUUUUAAACGAUAGCUAAUACCGCAUACCGUGAGAUAGACUCGUGUUGUAUUAGCUAGUUGGUGAGGUAACGGCUCACCAAGGCGACGAUGCCAAGCCGACCUGAGAGGGUGAUCGGCCACACUGGAAUGAAGCAAAGGCCAGGAUGCUGCGGGAAGCAACAAUAGGGGAACUUCGGCAAUGGGCGGAAGGCUGACCAGACAACGGCGCGGGGGUGGAGGAGGUUUUCGGAUCGUAAAACUCUGUUGAUAGGGAAGCGGUAACUAACCAGAAAGGGACGGCUAACUACGUGCCAGCAGCCGCGGUAAGUC